rnacentral:rRNA from 1 species
UACAGAGGGGGCAAGCGUUGUUCGGAAUUACUGGGCGUAAAGGGCGCGUAGGCGGCCUGCUAAGUCGAACGUGAAAUCCCCGGGCUCAACCCGGGAACUGCGUCCGAUACUGGUGGGCUUGAAUUCGGGAGAGGGAUGCAGAAUUCCAGGUGUAGCGGUGAAAUGCGUAGAUAUCUGGAGGAACACCGGUGGCGAAGGCGGCAUCCUGGACCGGUAUUGACGCUGAGGCGCGAAAGCUAGGGGAGCAAACGGG